rnacentral:rRNA from 1 species
GUGUCAGCAGCCGCGGUAAGACGAACCGUGCGAACGUUAUUCGGAAUCACUGGGCUUAAAGGGCGCGUAGGCGGGUCGGUAAGUCAGGGGUGAAAUCCCACGGCCCAACCGUGGAAGUGCCUCUGAUACUGCCGGCCUCGAGGGGGAUAGGGGCGUGCGGAACUCAGGGUGGAGCGGUGAAAUGCGUAGAUAUCCUGAGGAACACCGGUGGCGAAAGCGGCGCGCUGGAUCCCUUCUGACGCUGAGGCGCGAAAGCCAGGGGAGCAAACGGGAUUAGAUACCCCCGUAGUCC